rnacentral:rRNA from 1 species
AUGGCGGACACAGAUCACGCCACAACUGUGGGGCGCCAUCGUCUUCCACUACGUCGACGGCACGGCCACCGAGCCGGCCGAAACCCACACCACAAAAGAUACUGCUGGGAAAGAAACCGAGGGGCCAAAUCCUCUCCAUCCAAUUUGGGUGAAGGAGGACCAGCAGGCCCUAGGAUACCUGCUCCAAAACCUCUCCAAGGAGGUGCUCGUCACGAUGACCGCGAUCAUCACGGCGAGGGAACUCUGGGUGGCGCUGGCGAGCAUGCUCUCGUCGCAGUCACUCAGCCGCAUCAACAACAUCUGCAUGGCGCUGAUCAACGCGCAGAAGGGCAAUCAAUCGGUGGCCACCUACUUCGCCGCCAUGAGGGGCCUCACCGAUGA